rnacentral:tRNA from 1 species
ACUUGAAUAGUUUAUUUAAAAUAUAAAUUUGUGGAGUUUAAGAUAUAAUAAUUUUAAGUA